rnacentral:rRNA from 1 species
GAGUUUGAUCCUGGCUCAGAACGAACGCUGGCGGCGUGCUUAACACAUGCAAGUCGAACGUGAUCCGGAGCUUGCUCCGGUGAAAGUGGCGCACGGGUGAGUAACGCGUGGAUAAUCUGCCCUGGUAUCUGGGAUAACAUCUCGAAAGGGGUGCUAAUACCGGAUAAGCCUACGGACUCUUCGGAGUCUGCAGGAAAAGGUGGCCUCUAUUUAUAAGCUACCGUAUCAGGAUGAGUCCGCGUACCAUUAGCUAGUUGGUGGGGUAAUGGCCCACCAAGGCUACGAUGGUUAGCUGGUCUGAGAGGAUGAUCAGCCACACUGGAACUGAGACACGGUCCAGACUCCUACGGGAGGCAGCAGUGGGGAAUUUUGCGCAAUGGGGGAAACCCUGACGCAGCAACGCCGCGUGAGUGAUGAAGGCUUUCGGGUCGUAAAGCUCUGUCAGAGGGGAAGAAAUGAGUCUGGCUAAUAUCCAGAUUUCUUGACGGUACCCUCAAAGGAAGCACCGGCUAACUCCGUGCCAGCAGCCGCGGUAAUACAAGGGUCCYWGMMMACMMYUUYYKYCCCCCCYUWWRGGGGGGCCUUKGGGRARAACRGGWUCUCARAAAGCAGCUUUUAAUUWWWU